CCUACCCCUAGAGGCUGCUGAGUCACAUGUAUGUUAGUAGGUGGCAGAAAAGGAAGGGGCUAUCUAAGCUCAGUUCUCUGCCCUCUGAAAAUCUGAAUUAUUAGUAAUCUAACACU
rnacentral:snoRNA from 1 species